rnacentral:rRNA from 1 species
UACGUAGGGGGCUAGCGUUGUCCGGAAUCAUUGGGCGUAAAGCGCGCGUAGGCGGCCAGAUAAGUCCGGUGUGAAAGUCACAGGCUCAACCUGUGAAUGCCGCUGGAAACUGUCUGGCUUGAGUCCGGAAGGGGCGAGUGGAAUUCCUGGUGUAGCGGUGAAAUGCGCAGAUAUCAGGAGGAACACCGAUGGCGAAGGCAGGUCUCUGGGCCACUACUGACGCUGAGAAGCGAAAGCGUGGGGGAGCGAACAGG